AAUUCCAUUUAUUUAGGUAUGAUUUAGUGUUUUUCUUUUUUUUUUAAUAAAAAAAUUGUAUUUACUUAGAAGCAUUCAGAAUGUCAACAAAACAGCUACAACUUUUUUUUUUUUUUGCAAUUACAGAGUGGUAUUCAGUUAACAGAACAACAAUUAUUUCGUAUAAGCUGCAUCAGAGACAACUGAAGAUGAAAAAACUACCAUCCCCAUAUAUAACUAAUUUGUGCUGUGCACCAACAAGAACCUGCCUUAAAUUUCCAUGCCAAUUUACAACCCCCAUACUGUACCAGGCAAGGUUAGUGGCUAUUGGAAAUACCACCAGGACAGGGCUAUCUAAAGACACAUUUGGUAGUGUGUUAACUAUACAAAAAAAGACACUGCACACGUCUGAACUCAAG